CCAGACUCCUACGGGAGGCAGCAGUGGGGAAUAUUGCACAAUGGGGGGAACCCUGAUGCAGCGACGCCGCGUGAGUGAAGAAGUAUUUCGGUAUGUAAAGCUCUAUCAGCAGGGAAGAAAAUGACGGUACCUGACUAAGAAGCCCCGGCUAACUACGUGCCAGCAGCCGCGGUAAUACGUAGGGGGCAAGCGUUAUCCGGAUUUACUGGGUGUAAAGGGAGCGCAGACGGCUGUGCAAGUCUGGAGUGAAAGGCGGGGGCCCAACCCCCGGACUGCUCUGGAAACUGUAAAGCUGGAGUGCAGGAGAGGUAAGCGGAAUUCCUAGUGUAGCGGUGAAAUGCGUAGAUAUUAGGAGGAACACCAGUGGCGAAGGCGGCUUACUGGACUGCAACUGACGUUGAGGCUCGAAAGCGUGGGGAGCAAACAGGAUUAGAUACCCCUGUAGG
rnacentral:rRNA from 1 species